rnacentral:rRNA from 1 species
GAUCUCUUAAAGACUGUUCUCAGUUCGGACUGCAGUCUGCAACUCGACUGCACGAAGCUGGAAUCGCUAGUAAUCGCGGAUCAGCACGCCGCGGUGAAUACGUUCCCGGGCCUUGUACACACCGCCCGUCACACCAUGGAAGUCUGCAAUGCCCGAAGCCGGUGGCCUAACCACUUAUGUGGAAGGAGCCGCUAAGGCAGGGCAGAUGACUGGGGUGAAGUCGUAACAAGGUAUC